GAACUGAAGAGUUUGAUCCUGGCUCAGAUUGAACGCUGGCGGCAUGCUUUACACAUGCAAGUCGAACGGCAGCACGGGGGCAACCCUGGUGGCGAGUGGCGAACGGGUGAGUAAUACAUCGGAACGUAUCCUUGAGUGGGGGAUAACGCAGCGAAAGUUGUGCUAAUACCGCAUGAGCUCUGAGGAGGAAAGUGGGGGACCGUAAGGCCUCACGCUGAAGGGGCGGCCGAUGUCCGAUUAGCUAGUUGGUGAGGUAAAGGCUUACCAAGGCGACGAUCGGUAGCUGGUCUGAGAGGAUGAUCAGCCACACUGGGACUGAGACACGGCCCAGACUCCUACGGGAGGCAGCAGUGGGG
rnacentral:rRNA from 1 species